GACAGAGGGUGCAAACGUUGUUCGGAAUUACUGGGCGUAAAGCGCGUGUAGGCGGCUCUGCGAGUCGGAUGUGAAAUCCCACGGCUCAACCAUGGAAGUGCAUUCGAAACUGCAGGGCUAGAGUCCUGGAGAGGAAGGUGGAAUGCUUGGUGUAGAGGUGAAAUUCGUAGAUAUCAAGCGGAACACCGGUGGCGAAGGCGGCCUUCUGGACAGUGACUGACGCUGAGACGCGAAAGCGUGGGGAGCAAACAGG
rnacentral:rRNA from 1 species